GCCGAUGUAGCUCAGCUGGUAGAGCAGUGCUUUCGUAAAGCAAAGGUCGCGAGUUCGACUCUCGCCAUCGGCUCCA
rnacentral:tRNA from 1 species